rnacentral:rRNA from 1 species
UACGGAGGGAGCGAGCGUUGUCCGAAGUUACUGGGCGUAAAGCGCGCGUAGGCGGGGAAUUAAGAUGAGAAGGUGAAAAGGCUGGGGCUCAACCUCAUGCAGUGCUUCUCAUACUGGUUCUCUUGAGGGCGGUAGGGAGAAGUGGAAAUGGCUGGUGUAGCGGUGAAAUGCGUAGAGAUCGGCAGGAACACCCAGGGGGAAACCAGCCGACUGGGCAUUUGCUGACGCUGAGGUGCGAGAGCGUGGGGAGCGAACCGG